UACAGAGGGUGCAAGCGUUGUCCGGAAUUAUUGGGCGUAAAGAGCUCGUAGGCGGUCUGUCGCGUCGGAUGUGAAAGCCCGGGGCUUAACUCCGGGUCUGCAUUCGAUACGGGCAGACUAGAGUGUGGUAGGGGAGAUCGGAAUUCCUGGUGUAGCGGUGAAAUGCGCAGAUAUCAGGAGGAACACCGGUGGCGAAGGCGGAUCUCUGGGCCAUUACUGACGCUGAGGAGCGAAAGCGUGGGGAGCGAACAGG
rnacentral:rRNA from 1 species